rnacentral:rRNA from 1 species
AUUGAACGCUAGCGACAGGCUUAACACAUGCAAGUCGAGGGGCAGCAUAGAAGUAGCAAUACUUUGGUGGCGACCGGCGCACGGGUGAGUAACGCGUAUGCAACCUACCUAUCAGAGGGGAAUAACCCGGCGAAAGUCGGACUAAUACCGCAUAAAACAGGGGCACCGCAUGGUGAUAUUUGUUAAAGAAAUUCGCUGAUAGAUGGGCAUGCGUUCCAUUAGGUAGUUGGUGAGGUAACGGCUCACCAAGCCGACGAUGGAUAGGGGAACUGAGGGGUUGGUCCCCCAAACUGGUACUGAGACACGGACCAGACUCCUACGGGAGGCAGCAGUGAGGAAUAUUGGUCAAUGGGCGGGAGCCUGAACCAGCCAAGUCGCGUGAAGGAAGAAGGAUCUAUGGUUCGUAAACUUCUUUUGCAGGGGAAUAAAGUGCAGGACGUGUCCUGUUUUGUAUGUACCCUGAGAAUAAGGAUCGGCUAACUCCGUGCCAGCCGCCGCCGUAA